GGUGUGUUGCCCGAGUGGUUAAGGGGUUAGUCUUGAAAACUAAUUCACUCUGUGAUCGCAGGUUCGAAUCCUGCACACAUCG